rnacentral:rRNA from 1 species
AGCCGCGGUAACACCGGCGGCCCGAGUGGUAACCGCUAUUAUUGGGUCUAAAGGGUCUGUAGCCGGCCAGGUAAGUCCCUUGGGAAAUCUGGCAGCUCAACUGUCAGGCUGCUAGGGGAUACUGUUUGGCUUGGGACCGGGAGAGGUGAGAGGUACCUUGGGGGUAGGGGUGAAAUCUUGUGAUCCUCGAGGGACCACCAGUGGCGAAGGCGUCUCACCAGAACGGGUCCGACGGUAAGGGACGAAAGCUAGGGGCACGAACCGGAUUAGAUACCCGGGUAGUCCUAGCCGUAAACGAUGCUCGCUAGGUGUCAGUCACGGUGCGACCGUGAUUGGUGCCGUAGGGAAGCCGUGAAGCGAGCCACCUGGGAAGUAUGGCCGCAAGGCUGAAACUUAAAGGAAUUGGCGGGGGAGCACUACAACGGGUGGAGCCUGCGGUUUAAUUGGAUUCAACGCCGGAAAUCUCACCGGGGGCGACAGCGAUAUGAAGGUCAGGCUGAAGACUUUACCGGAUUAGCUGAGAGGUGGUGCAUGGCC